UAGGGAAUCUUCGGCAAUGGGGGGAACCCUGACCGAGCAACGCCGCGUGAGUGAAGAAGGUUUUCGGAUCGUAAAGCUCUGUUGUUAAGGAAGAACGAGUGUGAGAAUGGAAAGUUCAUACUGUGACGGUACUUAACCAGAAAGGGACGGCUAACUACGUGCCAGCAGCCGCGGUAAUACGUAGGUCCCGAGCGUUGUCCGGAUUUAUUGGGCGUAAAGCGAGCGCAGGCAGUUAGAAAAGUCUGAAGUGAAAGGCAGUGGCUCAACCAUUGUAGGCUUUGGAAACUGUUUAACUUGAGUGCAGAAGGGGAGAGUGGAAUUCCAUGUGUAGCGGUGAAAUGCGUAGAUAUAUGGAGGAACACCGGUGGCGAAAGCGGCUCUCUGGUCUGUAACUGACGCUGAGGCUCGAAAGCGUGGGGAGCGAACAGG
rnacentral:rRNA from 1 species